CUUUUACAUAUUAACAAAGUACGGCAAUUAACCCUUAUGUCAUCAACUGACUUACCCCAGUCAUGAGGACAAAACGCCAAGUAUACUGUCAAACAGAAAAUGGACCUACCCCCAUAACUGAACUACCAUGCUGCCCCAAGUUUCAGGAGCCUGCAGUUUCUCGGCCACAGGAAGGGGUACUGAAAAGGCUCAUGCGUGGCUUGCCACAUGUUUGCUCAGCCCAAAUGCACGCCACAAAAAAGCCAAGACGAGGACUGUCCACUCUCGACAAGCUUGCCAACAACACUGCAACUAACAAAGCAGCCAAGCCCUGCACAAUGCUCAAGCUCAUAAGAAAGUCGCAGAAGCCAGAUUUCAGUUCCUUCGUGGAAGAGGUGCAACAAGCAUUUAAUGAAAACACAAUUAGUGAAAUAGAGAGGCUCACGGUGUCCCAAUCUACUAGUGAUGAUUGGCACAGCUAUCGCAAGGGUGUUGUCACCAGUACAAUCUGUCACAUGUUCAAAACAAAAGCAAAUAAGCUCAAGUCAGAGCCACGGCCCCACAACCUGUCAGGUCUAUUCAAGACACUUUUGAAAAGCUCAACAUUUCAGACAAAGGCCAUGAAGGCUGGUAGCAAAAGAGAAAGCGAAGCAAGGGAAAGAUAUACAGCAAUAAUGAAUGCAGAUGGGCACACCGUCACUGUGAAGCAGACUGGAUUUAUAGUGUAUAAAGAUUUUCCUGUGAUCGGUUGUUCCCCUGAUGGGAUUGUGAAUUUGCAUGCGAAUGCUGCUCAGGAAAGACAAGUAUGCUUGAGAUAAAGUGCCCUCAAAAAAUUUCUAAUGCUUUCAGUAAAGAAAACCCCAAGCCAGCAUACUUAACUCAAAUUCAGGUGCAAAUGGGUGUGCUGGGAAUCCACUCAUGCGACUUCUUUGUGUAUGAGAGUGCAGAUGUCUGGAAGUUACUACACGUAGCAUUCGACAAGGAAUACUUUGAACAAUGCUGUACUUCUGUGAGGCUAAUUUAAAGCGAAUACCUUUUUACUGCGCUUAGGGCAUCUUA